rnacentral:lncRNA from 1 species
AUGGCAGAGCGUGGCUUGUUUUGUUAAAACUGCCGCCAGUUGUUGCAACAGCUCCGAGUUAGAAUAAUAGAUGCAGUGUUCAGUUUUUAAUAUAUGUGUUCCCUGUUUUCUCUGCUCUUUUUAUGGCGGGGGGUGGGGGACAAAAAAGUGUAAAACAAGAUCCGUGCCGCAAAGGCAAUUUAAACCUAACAUCCCAACCUUCAUGCAGCCAUUCUACAAGGAGUUGUUGAGCACCUGCUGUCUAUCUACAGAAAUCUUGAAAUGUGGAACAGAGAUGGAAAUAUAGCAUGCAAGUCAGAAUGAAUUGCCAAACAAUGACAGAAGGCUGCUCUGAAAUGAUCAAAAUUUUCUCCUGGGACCUCACACCAAAGGAAUAUAAUAGGCAUUCAUUUCUAAGACAAUGCGGCAUUCUCAUAAUCUUAAACUCUGGUGAAAACAGAAAAUUAUUGUCAGUGAACAUCUACUAAAUACAGACAGGUCCUGGACUUUGGUUUCUCUUCUGGUAAAGUGAGAACAGUGUCUCCCAUUAGCCAAAAUAAGCAGAGGUCAGUGAAAUAACAAUGUAACACCAAGACAUGGUGCACUUCUCAGGUGAAAACUUUUAU